AGAGUUUGAUCCUGGCUCAGGAUUAACGCUAGCGGCAGGCCUAAUACAUGCAAGUCGAGGGGUAACAGGGUAGCAAUACCGCUGACGACCGGCGCACGGGUGCGUAACACGUAUGCAAUCUACCUAUAACCGGGGAAUAACUCGCCGAAAGGCGAAUUAAUACCGCAUAACACUUCGAGGUGGCAUCACCAUGAAGUUAAACCUCCGGGGGUUAUAGAUGAGCAUGCGUUCGAUUAGAUAGUUGGCGGGGUAACGGCCCACCAAGUCUACGAUCGAUAGGGGUUCUGAGAGGAAGAUCCCCCACACUGGUACUGAGACACGGACCAGACUCCUACGGGAGGCAGCAGUAAGGAAUAUUGGAAAUGGGCGCAAGCCUGAUCCAGCCAUGCCGCGUGCAGGAUGAAGGAGCUCAGCUCUGUAAACUGCUUUUGUUUGGGAAAAAACCCCUGGUUUCUACCGGGGCUGAUUGUACCAAAAGAAUAAGGGACGGCUAACUUCGUGCCAGCAGCCGCGGUAAUACGAAGGUCCCAAGCGUUAUCCGGAUUUAUUGGGUUUAAAGGGUGCGUAGGCGGGCUAUUAAGUCAGUGGUGAAAGCCUCAAGCUUAACUUGAGAAUUGCCAUUGAUACUGAUGACCUUGAGUACAUUUGAAGUGGGCGGAAUGUGUCAUGUAGCGGUGAAAUGCUUAGAUAUGACACAGAACACCGAUUGCGUAGGCAGCUCACUAAACUGUAACUGACGCUGAGGCACGAAAGCGUGGGGAGCAAACAGGAUUAGAUACCCUGGUAGUCCACGCCCUAAACGAUGAUCACUCGAUGUGUGCGAUACACUGUACGCGUCCGAGCGAAAGCAUUAAGUGAUCCACCUGGGGAGUACGGCCACAAGGCUGAAACUCAAAGGAAUUGACGGGGGCCCGCACAAGCGGAGGAGCAUGUGGUUUAAUUCGAUGAUACGCGCGGAACCUUACCAGGGCUUGAAAGUUAUGGAAUGAUGUAGAAAUAUGUCAGUCAGCAAUGGCCAGAAACUAGGUGCUGCAUGGCUGUCGACAGCUCGUGUCGUGAGAUGUUGGGUUAAGUCCCGCAACGAGCGCAACCCCUAUCAUUAGUUGCCAACAGGUUAUGCUGGGGACUCUAAUGAGACUGCCCGCGUAAGCGGUGAGGAAGGUGGGGAUGACGUCAAGUCAUCACGGCCCUUACGUCCUGGGCUACACACGUGCUACAAUGGCCGACACAGAAGGCAGCUACUUGGCAACAAGAUGCUAAUCCCCAAAGUCGGUCUCAGUUCGGAUCGAGGUCUGCAACCCGACCUCGUGAAGCUGGAUUCGCUAGUAAUCGCAUAUCAGCCAUGAUGCGGUGAAUACGUUCCCGGGCCUUGUACACACCGCCCGUCAAGCGAUGGAAGUCGGGGGUACCUGAAGUCGAUC
rnacentral:rRNA from 1 species